GCAACCGUAGCUCAGCUGGAUAGAGCAACCGCCUUCUAAGCGGUCGGUCGGAGGUUCGAAUCCUCCCGGUUGCGCCA
rnacentral:tRNA from 1 species